ACCACUCAUUAUUUUACUUUUGGGAAUCCGUUAGAUAUCAAUUAAUCUAAUGAUUAGGAUUGCUCAAUAGGUGUGAUUUUAAAUAUAUGAUCCAUCAACAAUGGGACCCACAAUUUAGAUGGUCUAGAUAGCUUAACAUCGUUGCUAAAUGUGAGGAGGAUGAGUUACCACCAUUUUUUGGGUGGUCCAAAAUUACCGUUGGAAUCUACACAAGCAAGUAGAUAGAUUCAUGAAUUUCCAAAGGAACGGAGAAGAAUAAAAUCCAUACCUUUGCCUAAAUUUCUUUCCUUGAACGAUAAUUCAAUAGAGACAUUUAUUUCACAGACUCCAGCUAACACGACCCCCAAAAAAUAGAAAGUGAAAAAAAAAAAAAACCUGAAUAGAGGAAUCAAUGCAUCGAUAACUAACAUAUACAUGUACAUACAUUAAAA